rnacentral:rRNA from 1 species
GCGCAGCGAAAGCGAGUCUUAAUAGGGCGUUGAGUUAGAUGGAUCAGACCCGAAACCGAGUGAUCUAGGCAUGGCCAGGUUGAAGGUAAGGUAACACUUACUGGAGGACCGAACCCACAUCCGUUGAAAAGGAUCGGGAUGAGCUGUGCCUAGGGGUGAAAGGCCAAUCAAACUCGGAGAUAGCUGGUUCUCUGCGAAAUCUAUUUAGGUAGAGCGUCAUCCGAAUACCCUCGGGGGUAGAGCACUGGAUGGGCUAGGGGGUCCCAACGACUUACCAAACCUAACCAAACUCCGAAUACCGAGGAGUACUAGAUGGCAGACACACUGCGGGUGCUAAGGUCCGUAGUGGAGAGGGAAACAGCCCUGACCACCAGCUAAGGUCCCUAAGUUAUCACUAAGUGGGAAACGAUGUGGGAGUGCUUAGACAACCAGGAGGUUGGCUUAGAAGCAGCCACCCUUUAAAGAAAGCGUAAUAGCUCACUAGUCGAGUCGGCCUGCGCGGAAGAUGUAACGGGGCUAAAUUGGUAACCGAAGCUGCGGAUGCAUGCUUGCAUGCAUGGUAGAGGAGCGUUCUGUAAGCCGUUGAAGGUGAACCGAGAGGUUUGCUGGAGGUAUCAGAAGUGCGAAUGCUGACAUGAGUAACGACAAAGGGGGUGAAAAACCCCCUCGCCGGAAGAUCAAGGUUUCCUACGCAACGCUAAUCGGCGUAGGGUGAGUCGGCCCCUAAGGCGAGGGAGAAAUCCGUAGUCGAUGGGAAACAGGUUAAUAUUCCUGUACUUCUUCUUACUGCGAUGGAGGGACGGAGAAGGCUAGGCCAGCGCGGCGAUGGUUGUCCGCGUUUAAGGUAGUAGGCUGGAAUCUUAGGAAAAUCCGGGAUUCUAAGGCCGAGAACUGAUGACGAGUCCUCUUUUGGACGAAGUGGUUGAUGCCAUGCUUCCAGGAAAAGCUUCUAAGCUUCAGGUAAGAAGGAACCGUACUGUAAACCGACACAGGUGAUCAGGUAGAGAAUACCAAGGCGCUUGAGAGAACUCGGGUGAAGGAACUAGGCAAAAUGGUACCGUAACUUCGGGAGAAGGUACGCCGGUUUUGGUGAUGGGACUUGCUCCCUAAGCUGAGGCUGGCCGAAGUGACCAGGUGGCUGCGACUGUUUAUUAAAAACAUAGCACUCUGCAAACACGUAAGUGGACGUAUAGGGUGUGACGCCUGCCCGGUGCCGGAAGGUUAAUUGAUGGGGUUAGCGUAUGCGAAGCUCUUGAUCGAAGCCCCGGUAAACGGCGGCCGUAACAAUAACGGUCCUAAGG